UAUACAGCAGUAUACUUCUGGCGUUCUCUCUCUUUAUUUGCUUGAGCUGACAGCGUGAUAGGAAAAUGAAAGGGCCCAGAAGAAAGCACACGGUUGGAGGAGUCAGGAGGCCUAUGUUCUUAUAGAAAGCAUUACCAUGUGGUGGUAAUGAGCCAUUGGAAACAAGGUGGGGGUAGAGAGGAGAAAAUGGCCUGACAUGAGGGCUUCCAUUAGCUUUCUGCAUGUAAAGGGGUCUACAUAGAAUUCGCAAACAGGGCUGACAGAGCGUAGCGCAGUGUCGCAAUGUCGUUUUUCGUCACAAGUUUUAGGAAGCGUCUGUGCAAACUGGUGAGACAUACGAGAGGCUUUACAACCCUUCGAUGCAGUUGUAUUCGGAGAAACAYGCAAAAGACAACAGCUGGAAGGAGAUAUCACGGAUAUCACACUUGAUCACUGAUACUGAUAUCAAAGAAACAUGGAGAAAGAUUUGGGACCGGUAUGUUCGCAAUCUGAAAAGGGUGAAGGAGAUGAGGAGUGGGGCUGCCGCUGGUGUGUGUGUCCCACCGAUUGUCUGACACCUGGAUUGGUUUCGUGUUCACAUGAAACAUCGUCAGACAGACACCAAUAAUAUGCCAAAUACGGUGGUGGAGUGGGGUGGUGUUUUGGACAGCCCAGAAACAGAGUUGAGCCCUGAUGGCCCAUCUACAGGUGGUUCAUUGCCCCUUGGUUCAUCAUCGCCGUCACGUCCGUCGAAAGAAGAGGACCAAAGUGCAGCGUGUGCAUGCAUUCAACAAGCUUUGGAUGAAGGACUUGGCCGCCAUCUUCGAAGUUCACUCAAAAAGACAAUAGUUCUGAAAUGGGUUUGAUUUAGUUUUUGUUGUUUUAAUUAUUCAUAUUUUGUUCAUUCUAUUUUAAACUUCCAUUGGUUAAUCUAUUGCUCAAUUAUCACUUGGCACAUUUAAAUCAUUCUGUAGUUGUCMAUUUAAACACCCUAAGGUCAACAUCCCCAUAGUGUUCACACUUCUCUCAUGUAAAUGUUGAAGCUACAUAA